rnacentral:lncRNA from 1 species
UGGGAGUGGAAAAGGAACAAGGAAAUCUGUAACCGGUUAUGAUCAAUUAGUUGUAAACACCACUGCACGAGGACCAGCCCAAAGCUGCUACUUAACCAAGUGACUUUCUGAUUGCUCAACUGUGUUUCCACUGAGAAAAAUGCAUUGAAAUGAAACAUCUCAUUUCCAGUACUGUCCUGAGGCAAAAAGAGACAAUGAUACGUAUCUCCAAUUUAGACUGGAUGAAACUAGCCACAUUUCAAAUAAAGAAGUCACAUUGUAAGUGUAAAACGACGUUAACCUUAAAGGAGACAUUUCCGCCCUGUAUAACUAUG